CGUAGGUGAACCUGCGGAAGGAUCAUUAACAAAUCCUAGCCGUUGUUGCCUGGACGUGGCAACGGUGAAACACCGUGCACUGGCAGCUGAAGAUGGGAGACCGUGGAGGUGUGCUGCCGGCAUUAAAUUGGAUGCCGCACUUAAAUCGGUGGGAAUCACCAUUGCACCGCCCACCGGGCCUCAGAGGGUGUCUCUCAUCUUUAGUUUUUGUGUGAACAUUUUUAAUACUUGGUGUCAUUUUGGUGCAAUGUGUCGGUUGAAAAAUUUGACAACUUCUGACGGUGGAUCUCUUGGCUCGUGCAUCGAUGAAGAACGCAGCAAGCUGCGAUACCUAGUGUGAAUUGCAGAAUUCAGUGAAUCAUCGAGUCUUUGAACGCAAAUGGCGCUCCCGGGGUCUCCUCGGGAGCAGGUCUGUCCGAGCGUCUGCCACCUGAAAACGUUGUCGUACACGCUACGACAAGAGUGAGGGGCUGCAUCGCGCAAACCGCACUGCACCCCUUGAAGAACACACGGCAUUGUGGACGGUGGACCGCGACCGAGCUCCGGUGAGACAAUCGUCGCAACGGCAUAAACGGUUGCGUCGUUGUAUCUGGUCGGUGCCGUCGCUCGUCCACGUCUGCCCACGAACCAUCUCAGGAACA
rnacentral:misc_RNA from 1 species